AGAAUCAACGCUGGCGGCGUGCCUAACACAUGCAAGUCGAACGAGAAAGUGGAGCAAUCCAUGAGUAAAGUGGCGCACGGGUGAGUAACACGUGACUAACCUACCCUCGAGUGGGGAAUAACUUCGGGAAACCGAGGCUAAUACCGCAUAAAACCUAAGGGUCAAGGGAGCAAUCCGUUUGAGGAGGGGUCGCGGCAGAUUAGUUAGUUGGCGGGGUAAUGGCCCACCAAGACGAUGAUCUGUA
rnacentral:rRNA from 1 species